GAGCAUAAAAAGAAGGAAACAUGCAAAGCAUGCAUCGAAGGUUCAAUGUAGAGAAAGGGAGUGAGGGUAAAGAGAGAAAGAAAUAGGGUUUAGGGUUUGUUGUGUGGAGAUUCUUUGUAUACUUGUCUUACCGAGGUUCUAGUUAUUGAUCGAGGUGAGUGGUUUAUGUAAUGUGUUUAAAAUAUUCUUAUUUUCUGAUAAAUAAAAACCAUGAGUUAUUAUGGAUUUAUCUAUUUUCAAAUAUCUCUCUAUUUCAAGUCAAGCAUGUUGAAUUUAUGGGAUGCUUUCAGAAUUAUUAAUAUAGUGAUAUGUGGUUAUUUGAGGUGUUCAUGGAGCAUGAGAACUUAAGUAUCGGGUUAUCCGAGGGAUAAAUGUAUGGCAAACGUGGACAUUGGGGCGGAAAUGCCAUUUUAAGGGUCAUGUGGUGAGUUAUAUAUUAUGAAGGAUAACCAACAUGUUAAGGAACUAUGUGAUAUGAAAUUAUGUGGCUAAAGCUUUGAUAUUAUUAUCCUAUAUUAUAGUACGAUUAAAAUUGCAAGCAUGACUGGCAUAUUACAUAUUCUACUCACUGAGCGAUGGUGAUUGUUGCUCUCACCCAUCACUUAUUAUUUUACAGAUACGUUAUUUGGCAAGACUGGUGAUAGACAAACUGAGGUUGUCUUAGACGAGGGAUCUAAGAGUUUUAAUUUAUUAUUUUUGUACCCCCUAUAAGGAUUAUGGAGUUAUUUUAUAAGAAUGAAUUUAUUUUCAAACUCGUUUCAAGUUUCCUUUUAAUACUUAACUCACAUUUCAGAUUCAGGUUCGAGUUUUUAUUACCGACCUCAGGUUCGGGGCAUGACAGUGCCCCAUAUGAGGUGUCCCAAAGUAGAACAAGGGCAGACGAAUAACGUCUCUAGCAACGUCCAGGCAAGCAGCAACUCAACCAGUCACGAACAAAGUUUUCUGGCAGUAUACAUGAUCGGAUCAUAUUUAUAUAUAUUUUUACUUCGAAUUCACUCGUCUUUUCUUAGUUAGUUCCUUAUAUUUUUGAGCUAUUUACGUUAUUUUUGUGUUUAUAGGAUAUGUUAUGCAAAUUUACCUUUUAUUGUCACAUGAUAAUACUAAUGUACAUUUUAUAAACAAGUUAUUAUUACAAUUUUAGAAUGGUAAGAGUUCUUCCCAAUAAAUUUAUAUGCCUCAUGGGACGUGAAGCUGCCGAGUCAGUCAGGAAUUAAUCAUCUUCCCCAUAUGAUUAUCGUCGACUUUUCCCACAUGUUUCCAAUCAUAACUUUGGCUUCACAUGCUGAUAAUGUCAUAUUAACAACCCCAUUGCACCCACCAUCCAAUUGCCAAAGCGUGCAAAGAUUCCAAAGGGGAGGUAGGCUGCUUUGGCAGCCGGGAAGAAAAAGAAAAUAAAAUAGAAAAAAGCAGCAAAAAUUGAGGAGUCCACACGGUAGUGCGCAAGAAGUGGAGAAAAGAAAAAUAAUAAAGAAUAGAGAGAAGUGGGAGGUCAGGGACACGGCAUAAUU
rnacentral:lncRNA from 1 species